CUGAAAGAAGAUUUUGAUAUUUGCUUUCAUAGAACUCCUCAAGAGGUAGUAGCUCUCUGCAAGGUAGAACAGAUGUUAUAAGGGAUGCAGUAUGGCAUUAUUUUAAAUCUAGAAGCUGAGCACAACACGUUUGUAGCUGGUUGUUUAUGCAGACAAGCUUUCCCCAAGCCUGAAAGGGAGUUCUCAGUAGUUUCAGUGCUCAGAUGAUGCUACAACAGAACUUUGUGGAGGGCAGACCAGAACCAGGGAGACAGAGAGGGGCAGAUCCUUGUGUGAUACAACCAGGCCCAGCUCCACUGGAGCACACUGGGGAAAUGGCUUGCAGCAAGCAGAAGCAGAUCCUGCCUAACAUGGUAACAAGACUCAGAUCAGCCCAGUGUGAGCAGAGAUUGGCAUUAGCUGAUAAGCGUAGCAGAGCCUGCUUGAAAAUGCUGUCAUCCCUCUGCAGAAGCUGACAGCUGAACUGUUAAGCUGGGAGGUCAGAGCUGGCUGGCUUGAGCAGCAGCUGUAUGUGGCCCUGAGAAACGUGCCAAAGGCUUUUCCAGCUCAGACCUGCCAGACUCCAAUCCGUGGGUAAACCCAGCACACAGGGGCAAACCAGCUCAGCUGUGCAGGUGAAGAGUGAUUUAGGAGCCCCUGCAAUGGCAACCCAGGGAGUCAGCACCUGUCAGUCUGCUUGAUCCCUUCUAGCUCACUGCACCAGCAAAAUAUAGAUUAUGAUUGUGCCAAGUUCUUCUUGAAUUGCAAGGGCAUCUAUUGCCUCUGGCACGCUUCCAAAUGCAGUUGUAUAAAUAGAACUGUGCUGGACUUGCUACAUAGUGAGGAAGUUAUUUAUGCUUCACUUUUUUUUUUGCAUGACCCAGAGAAAGAUUCUGUGCAUACACAGGAAUGCUGCCUUGAUAAGGCUGAGAAUCCUGGGUUUUG
rnacentral:lncRNA from 1 species